AUCUAAGUAGUUUAUAAAAAUAUUGAUUUGUGAUGUCAAAGAUAUGAUGUUUCAUUUUAGAUC
rnacentral:tRNA from 1 species